rnacentral:rRNA from 1 species
GGAUUAGAUACCCUGGUAGUCCAUGCCGUAAACGAUGUCUAUUAAGAGCUUGUGGUUUUAAACCGUGAGUUCUGCAGCUAACGCAAUAAAUAGACCGCCUGGGGAGUACGGCCGCAAGGUUAAAACUCAAAUGAAUUGACGGGGGCCCGCACAAGCGGUGGAGCAUGUGGUUUAAUUCGAUGCAACGCGAAGAACCUUACCUACUCUUGACAUCCAGAGAAUUUAGUAGAGAUACUUUAGUGCCUUCGGGAGCUCUGAGACAGGUGCUGCAUGGCUGUCGUCAGCUCGUGCCG